AAUAACUAAUUUUCACUUUUCACGUACAAUUUUUAACUUUUCUUCUUAUUUAAAUUUUUGUUGUGAUUGAUAUUUUUGUUUUUAUUAAAUGAUAAAUCAUGAAUAGUACUUUACGUGUGACUAAUUUUUUCUAAUUUCCUGAAAAUUUUUCAAAUAAGAUGGAUGGUCAAACGUUGAACACAGAAACCGA
rnacentral:pre_miRNA from 1 species